UACGGAGGGUGCAAGCGUUGUUCGGAAUCACUGGGCGUAAAGCGCACGUAGGCGGAUUGCUAAGUCAGGGGUGAAAUCCUGGAGCUCAACUCCAGAACUGCCCUUGAUACUGGCGGUCUCGAGUCCGGGAGAGGUGAGUGGAACUGCGAGUGUAGAGGUGAAAUUCGUAGAUAUUCGCAAGAACACCAGGGGCGAAGGCGGCUCACUGGCCCGGUACUGACGCUGAGGUGCGAAAGCGUGGGGAGCAAACAGG
rnacentral:rRNA from 1 species